UACGUAGGGACCAAGCGUUGUUCGGAAUUACUGGGCGUAAAGCGCACGUAGGCGGCUUUGUAAGUUAGAGGUGAAAGCCCAGGGCUUAACCCUGGAAUUGCCUUUAAGACUGCAUCGCUAGAAUCGUGGAGAGGUGAGUGGAAUUCCGAGUGUAGAGGUGAAAUUCGUAGAUAUUCGGAAGAACACCAGUGGCGAAGGCGACUCACUGGACACGUAUUGACGCUGAGGUGCGAAAGCGUGGGGAGCAAACAGG
rnacentral:rRNA from 1 species